AGGUUUGAUUCUGCUGCAUAAAUAUUAUUAUGCACUUGUUAUUUUAAAUCUGUAUCUGAUACCCAUUUGCCUUAAUUGGCACAUGGGAUGUCACAACUCCAUUUUUGUGGCGAAGAAGGGGAGCCCUACACGCCUCUUUUUCCUUCUUUUACAGCAUGCAGGUGUGAUCUUCUUCUCAUCCUUCUUUGGCUUCCAGAGGCAUGCACACCUUUAGUUGCCAUCUCUUUUUUUUUCCUUUUUAAUUAAAACGGUGUCAUUUUGUCCCUUGCUUUUCUUAAUGCC
rnacentral:lncRNA from 1 species